rnacentral:rRNA from 1 species
CACGUAGGGUGCGAGCGUUGUCCGGAAUUAUUGGGCGUAAAGAGCUCGUAGGCGGCCUGUCGCGUCGGCUGUGAAAACCCGGGGCUCAACCCCGGGCCUGCAGUCGAUACGGGCAGGCUAGAGUCCGGCAGGGGAGACUGGAAUUCCUGGUGUAGCGGUGAAAUGCGCAGAUAUCAGGAGGAACACCGGUGGCGAAGGCGGGUCUCUGGGCCGGAACUGACGCUAAGGAGCGAAAGCGUGGGGAGCGAACAGG